CACAGUUUAAAAAGCAAUAAAAAAAAAAGAACUGAGAAGAUUUUAAUGUCUUUUUGCCGAAUACUUUACAGCUUGACAGCGGCAGUCAUGUCUGGAGAAGUCUUAUGACUCUGUAAAUCUUUUCGGCAGGCGGAAAUCGUCAGAUUUGCCGAAUGCUGCUUGGCGGAAGGAUCAAGUGAGAGACAGUGGUGACAGGGCCACAUUCAUUUUGCUGGUGACGUCAUGUACUACUACAUCACUACAGUCUUCCGGGAUGCGCGCACUGCGGACCCUCCCCCCUCCCACGGAACGUCACAUCAAAGCAGUUACUUCAAGCAUUGCAGCACGCACGCGCACACAAACGUUUAUAUAUGCGCAUAAAUACGAAUACACUCAUGUAUGUACAUAUAGACAUGUACAGGCACCCACACACGCAUACAAUCAUACAUACACACUCUCAUGCACACUUUCACCAACUCUAAGUUUCUAACACACACGCACGCACAUACAUCGGUAUAACAGCAAGACACGUGCAAUGGAGUGACGCCGGGUGGGAGCUGGGUGGAUGACGAGGGUAGGUGUGGGAGGGAGGAACAAGUACACGUGCAGUCAUGUGACUGUAGGGAUGGGGAUGGCGAGCAGUCGGAGGGAGCGCUGUCAGUUUGAUGGAACUGUCCACGGACGAGGCUAUCAUCAACAUUCCUUUCUCCUCCUGCCCUGCUCACGUGACACACCUUCAAACACUAAAUAACACUUCUUAUUCUAAAUAAAGGUAAAUAUCUUCGUUCAUGUUUACAACCCUCCAGUCUGAUAAAACUUGUACAAGCUGACCACUUCAGAUGGAGUACCAUUUUGCUGGGCUUGGUGGUGAGCAGAUUCAUUGACUGUCUCGUGAAAAGACUAUAAUCUGUGUAACCUUGUCAAAGGACACAUUUGUUUUGUUGUUAUUUACUUUACACUCAGCCAGGCGACAAGGGGACCACUACCUCCGAAUUAUGCAGUAAAGAAAGAUGACAAAGAAGCCAAAAAUUGAAUGUUACAAACAAAAGUCAACACGAGUUCAAAGACGAUGAUGUUAAUGACAAAAGUAGUCUCAGUUGGUCUUGGAUGUAGAACGUGUAGGUGAGCAUCAUUCUUCCUCCAGAAUGGGGACUGAAGGUAUUUCUGAUGGUGAUAGCCAUACCUGCAUUUCCCGUCAUUCAUUGCGCUGUGUGCGGAACUCGAGCUUUUCGCGGACGUAGCAAGUAAGUAGUCCAGGGGAGAGAAAGAGUGUGAGAGAAAGCGAUGGAGAAAGAGAGUGUGUGUGAGAUAGAGAGAUGGAGGAAGAGAGUGUAUGUGUGCGUUCAAGAAUAGUGUGUAGGGAUGGAGGAUGAGAAAUAAGUCGCUGGAGAGUCAGCCAUACCCCUCCCCUCACUCACCACCCGGGUCGGCAAGCGAGGGCCGCCUUGACACUCUUGAUGCAUGGGUAUGUCCUGAGGUUUUGACACUUGUCAUCCGUAAAGCCACUGCGCCUGCGCGUCACUCCUGACAGCGGCAGAUAACUCGACGUGCUCCAACGAGCUAAUUACUGCGCCUGGGAGGGGCGAUGACUGCUCACUGUCUACUGUUAUCAUAGCUUUGCAUGCCUGGCAGAAACAAUGAGUUGAGAAGUGGGGUGGGAGCAUAGGAUAGGGGGCAAUGAUUGUCAUAGACAGGUUUUUUCUUUUAUUUAUUUCAAAAUCUAAAUCUUGAAAACGGAAACGAACGAAUUAAAGCCAUUCCUUCCCUCUUCUCGCAGUUCGCCUCUCUCUCUCUGCUAUUCUUAGUAGCCAGAAAACAUUCUAUCCACUCACAGAAUGUUCACCACUUUUCAUUGUCACAAACGGACUUAUGAAUGACAAGAGUUCGUCACGGCCCAGCAGCAGUCUUGACACCAGCUCAGCCUCCACUGGAACUUUCCUCAAUCAUCGUCGUCGGAUACGUUACACCCCCCACCAGGCGAUAACGCCGACGGUCGACUGACGCCAUCUUAACUACCUUCUCCACCGCCUGCAGUGUCCCCAGCAGGUUCCACAAGCAACUUGGAGGACAGAUAACCGCGAUAUGGUGAGCAGCAUUCAGCCCUUUCACAGCACUGGUUGUCACAGUGUAUAUCCUUGUUGUCGGCGCCAAGAAUGUCAGAAGGACUUGCUCCGCCAUGCUCUAACAAAAGGCGCAGGCGAUUGGCUGCACACCAAGCUGACGUCAGUCCCUAUAUUUUGGAAUUACAGUUUCUGAACAGUCCAAAAAAGAGAAGCAGAAGAUUGACAGUGGGGAUAAAGCAAGAACAACACCAGUAACAUCGUCAACACCUUUGCGAAAGGUCAGGGCGGGGGCGGUCGUGGGCCCCGCUAACAGCCCCCGUGGGAUCACUUCAAAAGCAAACUGAUUAUCUCUGUGCCCGCGACACACAAGAAUGUUAUCGCAAACAGACCGGCCAGGGUCAACAUCACGGGGGCCGUAUCUGGAUUGCAAUCAAUAUGGCGCAACAAGACAGCAAUUGUCACGUGGUCGUCUGUCAGUAUCAAACUCAGGCCGACGCCGAGGCCGCAAUUAGCGAAUGUCAAUAACCUAUAGGUCGGCGGCGAUUGGGUUUGAUCAACGUGAAAUGCCAGCCACCUCCAGGAGAAAGUUCUCACAGAGACACCUAGCGGCCUGGGACUGCUGCCAGGGUGAGGCCUGCUCACUCAUUUUCUAUCUGAUCCAUUUAGACAUCUUGUGCGAAUAUACAGUCGUUCGUCUCGAAAGUGUUUUAGUUAGUACACAGCCUGACGAUAUUUUAAUUAUUGCUUAUGGACCAAAUUGUCAUCAAAAUCACUUCAUCAUGUCCCGCGGAGCAAUCUUGUAUCAUCAUUUUUUAAUGUUUUCGAACUAUGGUCAUCAUAGUGCAAUUAUAGUCGUCUGCCUCUCCUUGGUCCAAUUUCUCUUCAUUUCUGCCUUCAAUAUCCAAAAAAAAAAAAAAAAAAAGUAGGAAAAAGUCAACGAGAAUCUCAUUUCAUCUCAUCUCACUGCGGCUUACUCGGUGAGAACUGUAACGGGUGUUCCUGUGCCAGCCGCGGUGCUGCUCGCGAAGACAUUUUAAUUAUUGCUAAUUAUACUCACAAUCUUACACGUGCUCUGAUACCAGCGCCCCCUUAGCCGGCUCCGCCAUGCGAUACUCUUGAGGGUGUCUAUUAAUAAACAGUCUGGUCUGCUUGAUUAAAGGCAAAGUUUAGCUGGUAAUUAGGUUUACCAAACACCCGUUCUUGCGACCGCGGGGCUGAGAUAAGUGAGACUAAGAGGGGCCCUGGUGCUGGGGCUCAGACUACACACAGCUGCACCAUGGAGGGCCAUGGAGGGCCCCGUUGCCUAACGCAGAUAACGGCGAGCAAGAAUGUUAAGCGUUUGCUUAGGAAAACGUUCCUUAAUUGCACGUAGCAUGUGACCCCAGAUAUUCUACUAACAUACAGACUAACACGCAGGCAAACAGGCGGAAUCACAGACAACCAGACAGACAAACCUUUCUUUACAACCCACAUCACCAAAAGCAUCACGUGAGGAGAAAGGAUGAACUUUAGACCCAUGAGCCCUAGAAGUAGUUAGCUGACAAGAGUUCUUCGGGUAUUUAUCAUAAAAUUAGAGUAUUAUUAAAAUUUUACAGCAUUGGGUGAUUGAGUGCUGAUGUUUUCUGUCCAUGUGCAUCAUGUGUGUGCUCGCGUGUGUGUGUGAAAAAGAGAGAAAGAGAGUAGGGAGGGGGUAAGGACAGCAUAAAGAGAACAUUUGCGAUUAAAGACCACCUUUACAUGAAGUAUUUGAGAAGUUCAUUGCGAACUUUCUAUUUUUUUCUUCUUUUUUUUUUUCUCUCACUCUCCAUGCCUCUUUCUCCCGCUCUCUUCUUGCCUUUAUUGCUCUCUCUCUCUCUGCCUUCCCCCUCCCCUUUUCUCCUCACUUACUUCUCGUGCCUGCCUUCCUGUUUCUGUGUCAGGCUCUCAUUCAAACCUCGUCUUGGCUCCCUUCUCCCAACUCAUUUCUCGUCUUUGCAAAACCGCCUGCGUUCUAAACGAGUGUAUUGUGUUUGAAGGUAUUGUCCGCAUCUCUAAGCUGAAGCAGCUUGUGAAGGGCUGCAAGACGCCCAUGUAAUUUCCUCGCCCAUCUCCUCACCUCUUCACCAAGCGAGAAGUUAGUUUUUUUCUCUAUGAAGGCUUCCAAAAAAACGAGACCGAUUACGAGCAAUAGAAAUCUGUGGGACUAUUGAGCGUGGUCUGGGCGAGGGCGACAAUAGCGCUGACGUGAAGAGCCAUGAUUGAUGACGUCAAGAGAGCGUCAGAAACACUUCUCGCACAUCUCGCGUGACAGGCGGUAAACCAUCUCAACGUCUCCACGUCCUCACUUAACGUAUCUUGGCGUGUUUUGAGACAUAUUUGAGAACGACGACUACUUUUUUUUUUUUUUUUUACUGAAACAAAAAAGAUUUUUAUUUGAGAUUAAAGCUUCGGGAGCAAGUUUCGAGCAAAAUGUUUCCUAGUUUUUAAAAAGUUCGAAAAUUUCAUCGAAAAUUAUAGAAUCAC
rnacentral:lncRNA from 1 species